rnacentral:lncRNA from 1 species
GUGAGUUCCUGGCUGUCUUUGUGGUUCCUUCUCCCGUAACUGCGUAUUAUAGUGUUUCAAGUUUCAGUCAAAGUGUACUUGUUAAAGAAAAAGGAAGAAAAAAGAAAAAGAAAAGUCUGUGUGCCUCUGGUUUAAUUUUUUUCUGGUGAAUUUCAUAACAGUGUCCAGAUCUCAGAUGUCAGCGCCUCCAGGGUUUUCAGCACCAAACAGAGCACCACCCCCGGGAUUUACUUCUCAUUAUGAGAGAAUGGAGCAGAAUUUUGACUCUCUCAGUGGUCUGUUAUUACAAAGGCCUUUUGUUUUUUCUACUUUGUUGACAUAAUAUAUGCAUUAUGAGAGAGUUGAACAGAAUUUUGACUCUCUCCAUGGUCUGUUAUUAUAAAGGCCUUUUGUUUUUUCUACUUUGUUGACAUAAUAUAUGUAUAUUUUGAUGGUUUAUGUAAAAUCAUUACAUUUUGCAGGGAG